AGUAUCUCAAAAAAUAUUGUGCCUUCAAGGCAUAGGUUUUUUUGGAUGUUGGAAGUUGCCGGCUGCUAGCCAGUGGGCUCUUCUGAAAAGCAUUAGUUGAGGAGCUUUGCACUCUAUUGGUGUGAUAGACUAUCUAUGCCAUGAGAUGCUUUAUGGGAACCUCUGCUGUCUAACUGUCUUUUAUCGGACAAUGUGAUGAAC
rnacentral:misc_RNA from 1 species